rnacentral:rRNA from 1 species
AUUGAACGCUGGCGGCAGGCCUAACACAUGCAAGUCGAGCGGUAACACAGGGAGCUUGCUCCCGGGUGACGAGCGGCGGACGGGUGAGUAAUGUCUGGGAAACUGCCUGAUGGAGGGGGAUAACUACUGGAAACGGUAGCUAAUACCGCAUAACGUCGCAAGACCAAAGAGGGGGACCUUCGGGCCUCUUGCCAUCAGAUGUGCCCAGAUGGGAUUAGCUAGUAGGUGGGGUAACGGCUCACUUAGGCGACGAUCCCUAGCUGGUCUGAGAGGAUGACCAGCCACACUGGAACUGAGCCACGGUCCAGACUCCUACGGGAGGCAGCAGGGGGGAAUAUUGCACAAUGGGCGCAGGCGUGGUGCAGCCAUGCCGCGUGUAUGAAGAAGGCCUUCGGGUUGUAAAGUACUUUCAGCGGGGAGGAAGGCGAUAAGGUUAAUAACCUUGUCGAUUGACGUUACCCGCAGAAGAAGCACCGGCUAACUCCGUGCCAGCCGCCGCAGUAAAAC